AGCCUGACUCCCUGGGCUUCUGCUGGGUCCUGGUUUUGGCAUAGUUGUUUUGCGCCACCGGCUGCUGCGUUUGGGGUCUUUUACUCCAGGCUCCCGGGGCUUGGUCUGCGACUCAACUAUGUACCACAACAGUAGCCAGAAGCGGCACUGGACUUUCGCCAGUGAGGAGCAGCUGGCGCGACUGCGGGCCGACGCCAAUCGCAAAUUCAAAUGCAAAGCGGUGGCCAACGGGAAGAUUCUUCCAAAUGAUCCAGUGUUUCUUGAGCCUCAGGAAGAAAUGACACUCUGCAAAUACUAUGAGAAAAGAUUAUUGGAAUUCUGUUCAGUGUUUAAGCCAGCAAUGCCAAGAUCUGUUGUGGGUACAGCCUGUAUGUAUUUCAAGCGUUUUUAUCUUAAUAACUCAGUAAUGGAAUAUCACCCUCGGAUAAUAAUGCUCACUUGUGCAUUUUUGGCCUGCAAAGUAGAUGAAUUCAAUGUAUCGAGUCUUCAGUUUGUUGGAAACCUUCGGGAGAGUCCUCUAGGACGGGAGAAGGCACUGGAACAGAUUUUGGAAUAUGAAUUACUUCUUAUACAGCAACUUAAUUUUCACCUUAUUGUGCACAAUCCUUACAGACCAUUUGAGGGCUUCCUCAUUGAUUUAAAGACUCGUUACCCCAUGUUGGAGAAUCCAGAGAUUUUGAGGAAAACAGCUGAUGACUUUCUUAACAGAAUUGCGUUGACGGAUGCUUGCCUUUUGUACACGCCUUCACAAAUUGCCCUGACUGCCAUUUUAUCUAGUGCCUCCAGGGCUGGAAUUACUAUGGAAAGUUAUUUAUCAGAGAGUCUGAUGCUGAGAGAGAAUAGAACUUGCUUGUCACAGUUACUAGAUAUAAUGAAAAGCAUGAGAAACUUAGUAAAAAAGUGUGAACCACCCAGACCUGAAGAAGUUGCUGUUCUGAAACAGAAGUUGGAGCGAUGUCAUUCUGCCGAGCUUGCACUUAAUAUAACUACGAAGAAGAGGAAAGGCUAUGAAGAUGAUGAUUAUGUCUCAAAGAAAUCCAAACAUGAGGUAUGUUUACUCCAAAGGUGAACUUUAAGUCAUUUUUGUUACACAUUCUAAGUGUGACCACAUUGUUAAGCUUUAUUGUUCCAGAGUACACGCAUUACAGAUAGAGCUGUGGUUUUUUUCAUUUUUUGCAUACUUUUUUUGUGUAAACUGUCCAUUAUUAAAGGGAUUUUUCUUACUUCUGUCUUAGCCUGUCAGCAGUAUAAGUACUUGACGAAGAAUCUUUCUUACGUUCAUAGAAGGCAGCAUGGAUACACACACAUACUAAAUUUUUGCUUUAUUACUUAUUCUCCAAGGAUUCUUCCUUUGCCCCUUUUAAAAAAUUGUAACUGGCAAAGCCAAGGCAAAUGAAUAGUCAAUAGGCAGAAGGUCUCAGCUAUAACCUUUAUUCCUCAUUGGAAUGGUCUGGUGAGACCACACCAUAAUUAUUGUAAGAUUGAACUACUACAAAUUUUCCUGGUUUAUUUAUCUUCUGUAAUCCGCAUAGGUAAAAGGAGAACAUUUUCCUAAAGGGAGGCAAGGAGGUAAACAAUCUGGUUAACGCUUCAGUGUUAUCCUUACCACAUUUUUUUUCCUUCCUAGGAAGAAUGGACUGAUGACGACCUGGUAGACUCUUUCUAAUCAUUUGAAGAUGAUUUGUCAAUGCCAACUAACCAACAGAAAUAGGAAGCAUAUCUGGCAUUUAACAUUAUUUAAAAAGUAUAAUGUGAAAACAUCAAACUAUAUUAAAAUUUUCUAUUUGUUAAAUUUUUUUCCAUUCACUGUAGUUUUAUGAAAAAUAUCUUCAAAAUAGCCAGAAUAAUACCUGGUUAAGAUAAUCUUUUAACAUCAAAUUAGUUGUUUUAUGAUAGUCAAUUAAAGCUGUACUUUAUUUGCCUA